CCGUGAGGCAGCGCCAGUCGGCUGGCUGCCCAGAGUCCGGUUCUGGGCUCCGGCGCUGGCUGAGGGCGCUGGCCCACUAAGGCUGCUUGGAGGGAGUUCAUCAGAAGAAUUGGCAUCCCUUUGCAGUAAAGUACUCAAGCAGCGCGGGAGAGCUCGGAGUAGAGUGGGCGUCCAUCACUUGCCCAUGUAAUGAAGUUCCUUUAAUAGGAGAACUGAAUCGGAACCCUCUGUGGCCUCCAGCCCUCCGUACAGAGUGCAGUGUGGAGCUGUCCUGCAGCCCAGAUCUGAAGCCAAGACCCUGAAGGGCCUCCUGACCAGGUGCCUCUGAAAGGAAGUGGCCCAGGGUUCAAGGAUAAUCAAGUACCACCUUUUCAGGGGUGGAAAUGAGGAAUUUGAAGAAGAAGGAUGCUGUGCGCGUUUGAACAGCCCUUACCCGGCAUCUGCUCCUCGGGAACAGGCUGUGUGAAGGAUGCACGAUGCAAGACUCAGCCUUGCCGUCCCCUCCCCCAGGAAAAGGUGCCCGCAGAAGCUCCCAAAACACUUGCCUUUCCCUUGCCCCCAGUGGCUGUUGCCACCUCCCCUCUCUGCUGUUUUCUCUUCCCCUUUCCUUUCCCUGGUGGACUUUCACUUCCCGGGGCCUUCUGACAAGCCGCACCCAGCUGCUGGCUUUGAACUGUCCCCACGCUUCCUGCCCUCAGCCCCUUGCCACCCACGCACAGUGACCCCCGUGGGGGGAGCGCUGCUGCCCACGGAGCCUCCUCCCCGGACGGGCCCCCUGCUCCCCUCGCGCGCGCGCGCCUGUCAUCGGCAAGGAAGUGAGAACUCCACAGCCUCCGCAGGCAGUCCAGGCCACUGGCGGCCGUGGCUCUUUCUUCCCGCCCGCUCUUCAGGGAAGCUGGCUCCGGGGUCGGCUCCCCCUUGGUUCAACCGUACCACCGAUCCCGUCUACGAAAGAGGCCCUGGCUCCGAAGCGCCUCUGCAGCCUGGACGCCCGGCCGGCCCUCCCCAGCUCACAGAUGGCUGGCUUGGCAGGGGCGCUGCGAGUAGGUCUGAACUCGCCGGAGGCCACACGGGUUAGUUAGAAUGCCGGGCCUGACUCCCUCAGCCACAGUCCACAAAGGCUCCUUGGCACGGGUUCUUUGUGGAGGGUUUGACCCAAAGGCCCAGGAAUGCAGGCUUGUGCCGUCCUCCCCUACAGCCUGCCCUCCAUUCUCACGGCUCCCCCCAGGAGCAAGUCCCAACCGAUUCCUCAGCCAGGGAGAAGGCCACGUGGACAAGCCCAGGCCCGGGCCCAGGGUUUGCCUGCCCUGCUUCCCUCCCUCCCUCCACCAUUCCACGUCUCACCCAGAAGCCCAGCUCUCCCCUACCAACCACUCCAGCCCAGCUGAUCUCAUCCAAAAAGCCACAAGCCACCGUUCUGGCCCUUGAUUUCCUAAUGUCCUGUGUGUGUUUACAUUCUACUUCAUUUGCAGACAGUAGCACAGAGGUAGAGAUUAGGGAUGGGCUUUGGAGUCAAAUGAGCUCUUGUUCAAAUCCUGGCUGCAUUGCUGUGUGCCCCUGGGCAAGCUACUGAACCUUUCUCAGCUUUAAUUACUUCCUCUAUAAAAGUAGGUAUAAUCACACUUGUUGAAAAUGUUAUUUCCCUGAGCAUUAAAGGAAAAUUUUC